GGGGAUUUAGCUCAGUGACACAAGCGCCUGCCUUGCAAGCAGGCAGUCGUGAGUUCAAUCCCCG
rnacentral:tRNA from 1 species